UGCAGGAGGAAGACCACAGAGGUGAAGCACCAUUCUCAUCACAUCAGAUCAAGGGUACAUCCUAUCAACAUGACCUACUACUGUUGAUGCUGACCUUGAUCACCUGGCUAAGUCCACCUCAGCCUGGUUAACCAAGUGAUGGAGACUCGGUGGGAAGACAAGAAAGCAGAAAAACAGAUCGACCAAGAAGAGGAGAGGCAGAAGGACAAUGAGGAAAGAGUUGUUUUCAAAAAUAGCAGAGCCCACUUUCUGCACCCUCCAGCGGAUACCUAUCUGGAAACAAAAGGCGGAGUCUGAAAGAGGGGCAAGGACUUGGCUGGCCGGGGACUAUGGGAAAGACUCAAGAGGAGGGACAGAGGUGCCUACACCUCCCUCCGCCCCCUCCUAAAACUUCUUAGCUUCAGAUAACACCCUUUUGUUCUCCUUGUGACUCCACACCCAUGGGGAGAGGGAAUGAGGAAACCUUCGGGGAAGUGCCACCUAUCUGAUGAAGGGAAUCCUCCAGGGAAGCGGUGAGUGUCUUCCAGUGGCUUCUCACCAGACUCACGAUCAGGUCCACACUUCUUAGCAUGGCAUCCAGGAUUCUGCAGAAUCUUGCCUCAGCCUUCCUUGCCAAUCCCCUCUUCUGCUCUCUCUCCCCAGACCCACUGAGCUCUAGCUACAUAGAACUAUUACUAUUUCCCUGAACAUGCAUUUUGACACCUCUGUGACUUCUUUGCAUGUACUGUUUCCUCUGCCUGAAGUGCCUGCUGCGGCAUGUCUUCUUAAAGAACUCCUAUUCACUCUUCAGGACCCUACUAAAAAAUCAGACGCCUCUUCAAAGCCUUGCUUGACUCCCCAGACAGGGUUGGUUGCUCUGUGCUCCAAGGCCUAGCAUUCCUUCCCUUGUUCCUCACCCAGUAGGAUAAUUAUUAGGAUUUGCAUGUUUAUUUUCUUCCUAGUUGCUCCCCCAGGGCAGGGACUGUGUCAUUCAUCUUUGUAAACCUGAUGCCAGGCCCUAAUAAUUACUCAGGCAAUAUUUGUGUAAGGCUAAACACCAUUUCUGCUGGAUUUGGAGUAUUUUUUGAGCAGCAUUAAGAGAAUUUCUGUCACCAUGGACGUCCCCUGGCCCACAGUGACAUCUCUGUAUUAGUACAGCAUCAGUACGGCACUCCUCAGGUAAUUUGACGUCUGAUUGAUUUAUUUUACAUAUUAACCCACUGGGUUUCUGUUACCAUCAUAAGAUGAAGAGACUGAGACGCCAAGAGAUUGAGCAACAUCGUGUUCGAGGUUACAGUACACGCGCGGCAAAGCUGGGACCUGAACCCAGGUGUUCUGGCUGCGAGAUCCACAAGCUCUGACUACACCAGAGAUUCGCAGUAAAUGUCCUUUGACUCUGCAGAUCAGCAUCACCUGGGAACCUGAUAGAAAUGCAGAUUGUUGGGCCCCACCCCAGACCUGCUGAAUCAGACGAGGGUAGGCCCAGCAGUCUGUGCGUUAACCAGCCUUGCAGGGGAUUCCGCUGCACGCUCGAGUUAGAGAACACCAGCCUACACUGUAGCUGCUCCAGCGGCUUCCCUGGAGCCAGAGAAGGGUGCUCCAAGGCCAACUUUCACCCUUAAACAGUCGUGGCAUCUGGGAGGGGCAGGGGUAGCAGGCUGGGGUGGAAGGGAAGAAAACGCCUGGACUGGGAGUUAGAAGCCAGAGUUCUAGUCCCACCAGUUUUGCAGUUAUUGGCUGAGUGAUUCUGAGCACCUCUCUGGGACUCAGUUUUCUCAUCUGUAAAAUGAGAUGUUGAUUAAAUGAUCUCAUCUCUGAUUUCCCUUUACAUUAUGUUGUCCAGCUCUCCUUUGGAAUUUGGUGUCUCUGCCAGGAAUGGAAUGAAGACAGUAUGAGUGCUCAUUUUUAAUGGAUUUUUCCCAUACUUGGAAAUUAAUAGCCCCCAGUUCCAAAUCCUCAGACCAGCUAUCCUCUACCUCCUUCCUUAGGGGCAGAAAGUGAGAGCAAACGUUGGAGUUGACUGGUGAAACCAUUAAGCAAAAAAUAGAAAAGCAUUUGAUGGUGUUGGUUGGGACUUCCCUCCGCUACCUGGGGCUCCUUCAUGUGGGCCUUUUCCCUGAUCCCUCAACAGUCACCUGCUUCCCCACUGUGACUCUGCCAGACCCCUUUGCCUACAGACCAUCUCCCUGUCACCCCAGAACUCGCGUCCUUUCCCUGCUCCUUUCUAUGGGGUUGCCCGAUUCACAGGCUCUUGCUUCCCCAACAUUCUUCAGAGGAGGGAGAGGGGUGAUGUGUCAGGGUGACUUACUGGGCGUGCUAGGGGCUUGGUGGCCUGACGAGGAGCCCCACGGACACACUGAAGCCCUAUCCUACUGGUUUCGUGUGGACCUGAGGGCCCUACCCAGGGCGCACCUCAGAUGAGGUAGGGCUGUACCCACAGGGUACCCGGUGGGCCCAGCAUUGGACUGGCAGCUGGAAAACCUGUCCACAUCGGGCUGGAAAGAAGGAAGAAUGCUUCUUGCCCCUUUGAGAUGAUUAUGAAAAUUUGAGACAAGUAAUGGCAUCGUAAAAGUAGAGCCCUGAAUCAGAAAGGUGGGUAGAAGAAUUUUAACCACUCAGGACCCGGGUGUCAGCAAGAGAACAUGGCUGAACUCUCAAGUCCUCAGCGGCAGUUUUAGAAGUUGGUCAAAGAACCUGUCCCCUUCAGCAAAACCACACAUGCCCGAUAAACAGCCCGAGUGUCUGUCAAAUCAGUAUCACGCUCAGAGAGAGACUUUCGGGAUGGUUUCCAGAGUCCAGGAAAAGCCUUAAAACGCAGGACAGAGGUGUUGCCAGCAGCCUUGGGUUAAAAGCCAAAGAAAGUGGUUAUUAAACAAGGCCCCUGGACGAGCUGGAGCCAGCGUAGACUGGUCAUCAGCUGAAACUCACUGAGGCUGCUCUUCUCAGCUGCAAGUGACCCUCUCGGAGAGGCUGCCUACGUCCUGGAUAGAGCAUCAAUGAAGCUCCACAUUAAUGAAGAAUAUGUCUGCACUCCAAACUUAUCCAACUGUGUACAUUAAAUAUCUUCAGCUUUUGUAUCAAUCAUGUCUCA